UCUCCGUUGGUGAACCAGCGGAGGGAUCAUUACAGGACUCGCAAGACUCCUACAACCCUGUGGGCUUAACUAUAAGCACGUUGCUUCGGCGGGUGUCUCGGAGGGGGUUCUCCCUCCCCGAGACGCUAAACCCGCCGGCAGCCUACUAUACUCUGUCUCUUUGCGUUGGCAUCUCGAGUACAAUCAAACAAGUUAAAACUUUCAACAACGGAUCUCUUGGUUCUG
rnacentral:misc_RNA from 1 species